rnacentral:rRNA from 1 species
GAUGAACGCUAGCGACAGGCCUAACACAUGCAAGUCGAGGGGCAGCAUGAAAUUAGCUUGCUAAUUUUGAUGGCGACCGGCGCACGGGUGAGUAACACGUAUGCAACCUGCCUGUAAGCGGGGGAUAACCCGGAGAAAUUCGGACUAAUACCGCAUAAUAUCAUCGAAUCGCAUGUUUUGAUGAUUAAAAAUAUAUUGCUUACAGAUGGGCAUGCGUAUGAUUAGCUAGUUGGCGGGGUAACGGCCCACCAAGGCGACGAUCAUUAGGGGUUCUUAGAGGAAGGUACCCCACGGUGGAACUGGUACACGGUCCAAACUCCUACGGAAGGCAGCAGUGAGGAAUAUUGGUCAAUGGACGCAAGUCUUAACCAGCCAUGUCGCGUGAAGGAUGACGGUCCUAUGGAUUGUAAACUUCUUUUAUAUGGGGAUAAAGUGUGAGACUUGUCUCAUUUUGCAUGUACCAUAUGAAUAAGCGUCGGCUAACUCCGUGCCAGCCGCCGCCGUAACAC